UACGGAGGGGGCAAGCGUUGUUCGGAAUUACUGGGCGUAAAGGGCUCGUAGGCGGCCAACUAAGUCAGACGUGAAAUCCCUCGGCUUAACCGGGGAACUGCGUCUGAUACUGGAUGGCUUGAGUUUGGGAGAGGGAUGCGGAAUUCCAGGUGUAGCGGUGAAAUGCGUAGAUAUCUGGAGGAACACCGGGGGCGAAGGCGGAAUCCUGGGCCAACACUGACGCUGAGUGAGCGAAAGCCAGGGGAGCAAACGGG
rnacentral:rRNA from 1 species